AUUGAACGCUGGCGGCAUGCCUUACACAUGCAAGUCGAACGGCAGCACGGGAGCAAUCCUGGUGGCGAGUGGCGAACGGGUGAGUAAAGUAUCGGAACGUGCCCAGUCGUGGGGGAUAACGUAGCGAAAGUUACGCUAAUACCGCAUACGAUCUAUGGAUGAAAGCGGGGGAUCGCAAGACCUCGCGCGAUUGGAGCGGCCGAUAUCAGAUUAGGUAGUUGGUGGGGUAAAGGCUCACCAAGCCGACGAUCUGUAGCUGGUCUGAGAGGACGACCGGCCACACGGGGACUGGGACACGGCCCAGACUCCUACGGGAGGCAGCAGUGGGGAAUUUUGGACAAUGGGCGAAAGCCUGAUCCAGCCAUGCCGCGUGCAGGAUGAAGGCCUUCGGGUUGUAAACUGCUUUUGUACGGAACGAAAAGGUUUGGCCUAAUAAGCUGAGCUCAUGACGGUACCGUAAGAAUAAGCACCGGCUAACUACGUGCCAGCCGCCGCCGUAACAC
rnacentral:rRNA from 1 species